rnacentral:lncRNA from 1 species
GAGCAAGGCUAGCCUAGGCGACUUGGCAAGAAACUGUCAAAGUGAAUAGAUAAACAUUAGAAAAUCUUUCCUGUGUGAAUUGAAGAAGCCCUACUAAGGCUUCAGAAGUGUGGGUUGGCCUUCCCAGUUAUGUUUGAACUAGGCAAAAUUUUUCAAGAUUUUAUUUUAUGUGUGUGGGUGUUGUGCCUGCAUGCCUCUGUACUACCUGUGUGCCUGGUGUCCAAAGAGGCCAGAAGAGGGCGUUAGAUUUCCUGGAACUGGAGUUCAUGUAGUUCAGGUGGUUGUAGGUCACCAGGUAGGUGCUGGAAAUUGAACCCAGAAUUUCUGGCAGAGUAGCCGGUGCUCUUAACCGCUCAGCCGCCUCUCUACUCCUUCCGCGCCCCUCCCCUUUUCUUAAAUGUUUUUAGCUGGGUUUAGUGGUGUAUGCCUUUAAUCUCAGCACUCCAGGGGCAGAGGCAGGCAGGUUUGAACCCAGCCUGAUCUACAUAGUGAAAUCCAGGCCAACCAGAAUUGCAGGGUGUGACCCUGUCUCAAAAAAAAAAAAAAAAAAAAAAAAACCCAAAAACUUAAAUGUAUUCAUUUAGAGUGUGUGUGGUAUAUGCUUGCCACAGUGCACACUGGAGGUCAGAGGGCAGCUUUCAGUGAUUGGUUCUUGUCCCUCCUCACCAUGUGGGGUGCCUCAGGCUUGGCCACAAGGGCCUUUGCUCACUAACCUUCCCACCAGCAGAAAAUCUGUAUUUUUGUUGUUGUUAAGAUUUAUGUUUUUCGGAGCUGGAAAGAUGGCUCAGUGGCCAAGAUCAACAACUCUUCCAGAGAACCCAGGCUCAGUCCUCAGCACCCACAUGGUGGCUCACAAUUGUCUGUAACUCCAGUUCUAGGAGACCUGACACCUUUACACAGACAUACAUGCAAGCAAAACACCAAUGCACAUAAAAUGAAAAUAAAUUAUUUUUAAAGAG